rnacentral:ncRNA from 1 species
CAUACGAAAUGCGGGUGCUGGAUAAAGUCUGGCUGAGAUAGGGAACUUGUUUUCCUGACCGUUAAUCUGAUCCAGGUAAUGCUGGCGUAGAGAACAUAACGAAACGUAGCCA